GGGAGCGACUCACGAUGCCAGAAUACUGAGGGAGAGUGGUCUAUUUCAGCUCUUUCAACGACGUUUAUUGCCCGUGAAAUGCCAUCUUCUCGGUGAUAGCGGUUAUCCUGGGAAAGACUGGCUGCUGACACCUUUUUUAAAUCCACAAGCUGGUCCACAGUCACGGUACAACAGGUCGCAUAAGUGCACUCGCACCCUUGUUGAGAGAACAAUUGGUCACUUAAAAAGACGGUUCCAUGUUCUUCAUGGAGAAAUACGUCAGCAUCCUCAACGUGCCAGCAAUGUCAUCAUAGCAUGCGGAGUUUUACAUAACAUCGCAAAAAUGUUCAAUCUGCCCCUCCCUGACGAUGAUGACAACGCAGAGGCUUACAAUGACAAUGGAAAUGCCAAUGACCACAUGGCUGCAGAUAUCCAGGGUACAGAUGGUCGAGCUUACAGAAAUCACAUUGUUUCUGCUCAUUUUAUGUAAACAGAUGCGGGUCAAUUACGGUGUGGGUGCAAACAUUGGUAGGACAUGCGUUUGGCUGUGGGACAGUAACAAAGUUUAUUUGUUG